rnacentral:rRNA from 1 species
GACGAACGCUGGCGGCGUGCCUAAUACAUGCAAGUAGAACGCUGAAGGGGGAGCUUGCUUCUCUGGAUGAGUUGCGAACGGGUGAGUAACGCGUAGGUAACCUGCCUGGUAGCGGGGGAUAACUAUUGGAAACGAUAGCUAAUACCGCAUAAUAUUGACUAUUGCAUGAUAGUCAGUUGAAAGGUGCAACUGCACCACUACCAGAUGGACCUGCGUUGUAUUAGCUAGUUGGUGGGGUAACGGCUCACCAAGGCGACGAUACAUAGCCGACCUGAGAGGGUGAUCGGCCACACUGGGACUGAGACACGGCCCAGACGCCUACGGGAGGCAGCAGUAGGGAAUCUUCGGCAAUGGACGGAAGUCUGACCGAGCAACGCCGCGUGAGUGAAGAAGGGUUUCGGAUCGUAAAGCUCUGUUGUAAGAGAAGAACGAGUGUGAGAGUGGAAAGCUCACACUGUGACGGUAUCUUACCAGAAAGGGACGGCUAACUACGUG